UACGUAGGGUGCGAGCGUUGCCCGGAUUUAUUGGGCGUAAAGGGCGCGUAGGCGGCUCGGCACGUCCGUUGUGAAAUCGCCCGGCUCAACUGGGCGGGGUCAGCGGAUACGGUCGAGCUUGAGCAAGCUAGGGGGCAAUGGAAUUCCCGGUGUAGUGGUGGAAUGCGUAGAGAUCCGGAGGAACCCCAGAGGCGAAGGCGACGCCCUGGCUCGUACCUGACGCUCAGCCACGAAAGCAUGGGGAGCGAACGGG
rnacentral:rRNA from 1 species